rnacentral:rRNA from 1 species
UACGAAGGUGGCAAGCGUUACUCGGAAUUACUAGGCGUAAAGGGCAGGUAGGCGGUUUGAUGAGUCUGUUGUGAAAGCUCCCGGCUUAACUGGGAGAGGUCAACAGAUACUGUCGAACUUGAGUAUGGGAGAGGGUACUGGAAUUCCUGGUGUAGCGGUGAAACGCGCAGAGAUCAGGAGGAACACCGAUGGCGAAAGCAGGUACCUGGACCAUUACUGACGCUCAGCUGCGAAAGCUAAGGGAGCAAACAGG